GGGCGGUAGCUCAGCCGGUCAGAGCAGAGGACUCAUAAUCCUUGGGUCGUGGGUUCGAGCCCCACCCGCC
rnacentral:tRNA from 1 species